GACGAACGCUGGCGGCGUGCCUAAUACAUGCAAGUAGAACGCUGAAGGAGGAGCUUGCUCUUCUGGAUGAGUUGCGAACGGGUGAGUAACGCGUAGGUAACCUGCCUGGUAGCGGGGGAUAACUAUUGGAAACGAUAGCUAAUACCGCAUAACAGUAGAUGCUGCAUGACAUUUGCUUAAAAGGUGCAAUUGCAUCACUACCAGAUGGACCUGCGUUGUAUUAGCUAGUUGGUGGGGUAACGGCUCACCAAGGCGACGAUACAUAGCCGACCUGAGGGGGGGAUCGGCCACACUGGGACUGAGACACGGCCCAGACUCCUACGGGAGGCAGCAGUAGGGAAUCUUCGGCAAUGGACGGAAGUCUGAACGAGCAACGCCGCGUGAGUGAAGAAGGUUUUCGGAUCGUAAAGCUCUGUUGUAAGAGAAGAACGAGUGUGAGAGUGGAAAGUUCACACUGUGACGGUAUCUUACCAGAAAGGGACGGCUAACUACGUG
rnacentral:rRNA from 1 species